rnacentral:sRNA from 1 species
UUUUUUUACUGAGUAUUGUGUCAUAAUUUGAAUAUUUAUAUUCAAUUUCAUACAUAUUAUUUUAAAAUUUAUAAUCUUAUAUACUACAAUAAUUAAUAACAUAUUAGAUUUUUUAAUGUGUAUGAUGUGAUUCAAUUUUUAAUACAAGAUAGAAAAUCCUAGAAUUGACGGGUUUAAAUCAAUAUUAAUACAAGAUGGUAUACUACAGGUGAAACUCUAAAAUUAACAAUCAAAAUACAAGUAUAUAAUUUUAAACACUAAACAAUAUAAAUAAUAUCAACAAAACAUAUACAACUCGCAGUUUACUAUACAUUUAAAAUCAAAUAAAAUU